rnacentral:rRNA from 1 species
UACAGAGGGGGCGAGCGUUAUUCGGAAUUAUUGGGCGUAAAGGGCGCGUAGGCGGCUUGGCAAGUGGAUGGUGAAAUCCCUCGGCUUAACCGAGGAACUGCCGUCCAAACUGCUUCGCUUGAGACCGGGAGAGGUGAGUGGAAUUCCCAGUGUAGCGGUGAAAUGCGUAGAUAUUGGGAGGAACACCAGUGGCGAAGGCGGCUCACUGGACCGGUACUGACGCUGAUGCGCGAAAGCGUGGGGAGCAAACGGG